rnacentral:rRNA from 1 species
CAAGAUAAGAUCUGCGGUAGAUAAGACCCCUUGAAGACUACAAGGAAAUAGGCUGGGUAUGGAAGUUUCGCGAGAAAUGAAGUUGGCCAGUACUAAUCGGUCGAAAGCUUAAUCUA